rnacentral:rRNA from 1 species
UGGGGAAUCUUGCGCAAUGGCCGAAAGGCUGACGCAGCGACGCCGCGUGGGGGAGGAAGGCCUUCGGGUUGUAAACCCCUGUUGCCCGGGACGAAUGCGCGCUUCAGAGCGUGUUGACGGUACCGGGUGAGGAAGCACCGGCUAACUCCGUGCCAGCAGCCGCGGUAAUACGGAGGGUGCGAGCGUUGUCCGGAAUCACUGGGCGUAAAGGGCGCGUAGGCGGCUCAUGAAGGCUGUGGUGAAAGUCCGGGGCUCAACCUCGGAUCGGCCGUGGCGACUCGUGGGCUGGAGCACUGUAGAGGCGGGUGGAAUUCCGGGUGUAGCGGUGGAAUGCGUAGAGAUCCGGAAGAACACCAGUGGCGAAGGCGGCCCGCUGGGCAGUGGCUGACGCUGAAGCGCGACAGCGUGGGGGGAGCAAACAGGAUUAGAUACC